GAAAUGCGAUAAGUAGUGUGAAUUGCAGAAUUCAGUGAAUCAUCGAAUCUUUGAACGCACAUUGCGCCCCUCGGUAUUCCAUGGGGCAUGCCUGUUCGAGCGUCAUUUGUACCCUCAAGCUCUGCUUGGUGUUGGGUGUUUGUCCCGUCUCCGCGCGUGGACUCGCCCCAAAGUGAUUGGCAGCCGGCGUACUGGUCCCGGAGCGCAGCACAUGUCGCGCAAACGAGUGCCUUGGUACGGCGGCGUCCAUAAGCCCCUCUCUCACGCUCUUGACCUCGGAUCAGGUAGGGAUACCCGCUGAACUUAAGC
rnacentral:misc_RNA from 1 species